AUGACACUUUAUUACGAAUAAAAGUAAUGGCACGUUUGGUAAGAGUGUAAGGUUUGCGGGUACAAGGUCCCAAGUUCGAAUCCCAUGUCUGGCAUUUUUUAUUUUUUUUUAUUUAACUUUACUUCUGUUUUAAAUUAUUUUCAAAAAAAUCAUAAAAUUGUAUUUUUUUAAUUAUUUUUAAUCAAUUUUCGUAUUUUAUUAAUUAUGUAUUUUAAAAUAUUAAUUUUUUUAUUUUUUUUUAUUUUUCCAUUUUUAUUCAUAGAAAUUACCAAAAAAAUCAUAAAAUAAAAUAAAAAAAGAUUUGAAAACUUUCUUUCCUUUUUCUCUUUUUAGGAAGAACACUUAUUUUUAGAAAAGAAUUAUUGUAAUUAGUUAAAAUAAUUUUUGAGUCUUAAAUGAAAUAAUAUUUGAUUUUUAAACCUGAAUUAUAUUUGAUUGAUUAAAUGAUUUUAUUCUAUUUUUAAUUAACCUAAUUUUAUGUGUAUAUAUAUACUAACAUUUUCUACACUUUUGGGGGGACAUUCACGGAUAACAGCAAAAUUGGAAUAGCAGCGAAGAAAAGUUGAACUUUGACAAACACCGCCGUCAACCAUUCCACACGGUCGGAACGCUACCAGCGCCUCCGUCGCUCACGGGUUUCUGAUAGGCAUCACUGCGUAAUUCUCUCGCUGACAACACCGCAACUACCAGCAGCUGACGCAUCCAACAACUCUGUCGGCCGGAAAACCACCGCGCUGGAUCCACAGCGCCUCCGGUCAAACUCAUCCUUCGCGUGAUCCUCCGAUGAAAUCAUCGUCCGCCCUCGGAUUGCCGUUUCAAUGUGUUGAUGUAAGUAUUUCUCUUUUCUUGUUUGAUCUGCAUCUAUAGGCGAUAACGUUGUUAAUUCUCUGGUUUUUUCCUUGAAUAUUCACCGUGGUUUUUUUUUAUUAGAACAAACAUGGCUGUGUUGUUUCUGUAUUUUGUUCGGUGUACAGGGAUAAAAGAAGAACAUAGUAAAGGAAAUGUAUCGUGACCUUCUUUUUUUUAUUGUUAUAAUGUUUUGUUUUUUUAAUUAGACCACAUGUGAAACUGUGAUUGGAUGGUACUUUUUUACUUUGAAAAUUCAAAGAGAGAGAACGAAGGAUUGUUGUUGAUGCCAUGUUUCACUUUUUUUUCCCUCUUGUUUUAAUUUCUUAGUAUUUAUCCACUAGUUAUAUAAAUUCAAUUAGGAUUUUAGAAAUUAUAAAAAUGGACUUUGGAUCUUUAGUUAGUUAGUUAGAUUAAUUUAAUUAAUUUUGUUUAACUAAUUUAUUAUAAUUCAUUAAUUUUAGUUUAGUUUAUUUUAUUGCAUUGUUUUUAAUCAUAUUAAUCAAACAUGUCAAGAAACAAAAAUAACCCUUUUUUAUUUUGUUAGUUUUUAUCCAAUAAGCUUUUUUCGUACAAAUUUAGAUUUAUUAGUUUACUCAACUUCACUAAUUUGUUUUUUGUGAGAUUAGUUUACUUAAUUUCUACCAUUAUAAAAUAUCAAAAAUAUUAGGUUUAGUUUCUUUUCUAUUUACUCGAUAUAACAAUAUUUAAAAAUAUUAAAAAAUAUUAUUUUAGUUAAUAUUUGUUUAGAAAUUAAUAUAUUUGUAUUUUUUGUUAAUUUUUUUAUUAAUCAUUGUUCAUAUUAUUUUAUAUAUCCGUCCUCCCACUUUCUUGUUUAUUGCGAGGUACAUUCGAGCUGUUCAUCUAUUCCUGUGGAUAUUUGCAAAUUCAUCAUCAAUCUCCUACCAUCCAGAUCUAACGUACACAAAGCUGAAGGUUUACCAUGCACCCUCACUCGAAGGGUUUGUCCUGCCCGAGGCUUCCCGCCAACCAUAUCAGAUCAAAUGCAAAGCUAAGUAUCUAUUUUUCUUUAUUUAUUUAUUUAGCCUUACAAUAUUUGUCCUUUUAUUUUAGGGCUAGUUCUUUUACCUUCGAACCAAUAAUGCACUCACUCCCUCUGUUUAUUCUGUCUUUUUCAAUUUUUAGGGUUCGUCGACUGCCAAAGCUACGAGUACUGGUAACCCUAAACCCUGAUAUUUCUUGUCUUUUAUUACUUGUGCCAAACCCUAUUAGGGAUCCGCUGGUUUCAUUGUCCCCUUCCCCAUAUUGCUAUUGUUAUUGCUGUAUGAUAAACUGCGUGGUUAGUAAUUUAGGGAGUGUAACCUUGAAUUGAAUUAGCCUCACUAACUAUAAGAUAAUUUAAUCGAAUUAAUCACGUGAUUGUUGCACACACGCACCCUUUUGGGGUAACCUCUCUGUUGCCUUGUUGCCUGUUGCCUGUUGCCUUUGUGUUUUUUGCAGAAUAAGCCAUGUCCCUCGAAUACGAGGAUACCUCAGCCAUGCUGCCUCGAUAAUUAAAGGUCAUAUGACCCUAAAUGAUGCUGCCUUCGAUACACAAAUAUGACCUCGACCCUCGGAAGUUGCCUACGGAAAAAGGCUGAGGUAUCUUCUGGCUGCCUACGAAAAGGCUUAUUCUGAUCCUUCCCCUUAGACUACCUGCCCCUCUAUGGCAUGGGUCAGUCUUUGGGCAAAGGAUAUCUCGACGACCCUUCAACCUCCAAACGAAAGGCUUCCUGCCCACUUAUGGCAAGGAUUGACCCUUUCAUUCUGAAAGGCUAAAAAGAGACCUAUCAUCUGAGUUUAAGGUAAUUGCCCCUAAUUGCCUUGCAAUGCUCAAACAAUUUUAAUAUUCUUUCUCACAAUUCUUCGAAAACUGGCUACACUCAUUUACGAGUUAAAGUCCACUUUUUUCUUUCAUCUACUUUUUCUAAAAAAACAAACGAGCAAGCAAAGCAAUUAAGAGCCCAUGGAAAACCAUGGAUGCAAAGGGUGCCUUACACCUUCCCUUUGCAUAAAUUACCCCCCGAACUUAGAUUUCUUAAAAAGGUUUUUUCUGUUUCUUUUAGCCUUUCUGAAUUCGUUUGGAUAAAAUAAAAGUCGGUGGCGACUCUUGCUUAACCGCGACAUUUCGAUUGAUAAAAAGUCAGUUCACCGUAUCACAGAACUGGCGACUCUGCUGGGGAUUAAAAUUCGAUAAAAGAGGGGUUACCUUAAAAGUUUAGGAAUCACUAAAAUGUUUUCUAUUGCCUGCUUUGCUUAUUUUAUUUUUCAGGGCUGUUUUGGGAAAAUUGAAGGACGAAUCCUAUUCCCGGAUUCAAGAACACUUAAGAUUAGGAGCGGCAUAGUCAUGGAGACCCCCCUUGUGCAUGCUUGGGGUUGGUCAAAAUGAAGUUCGCGCUUGAGUUAGGCCUCCACUGGUUAUUGUGUACCUCUUUUGCAUGAGAGAGGUUUAUGCAUGUAUCUUUGGGUGCGUCGGAGCUCAAGGACCUUUAGUCACCUUUAACCCAUCCUGACUUUUAGGAACGUAGUGGGAGGGCUAUUCUUGGUGCAUGCCAAGUUAUGGUCGCUACCCGAUACUACAGCUCAGAUAGGUUUCUUCCUAAAGUAUCAUUGCGUGGUAUGCAUGUACCAUGUUCGAGGGUGCUUUAGAGGGGGCUGACAAUUCUGAGUCACUUGGUAGAACCCGUUGCUGAAAUCUCCUUAUCCAUAAAAAUACCCUUGGGAAGGACACCUGAUCAGACUCCAUGCAAGCCUUAAGCCAAAAAUUGUGUGACUUGCGUGACUUGUGUGACUUGUUUGUGUUUGCUACUAACCUUCGUUCCUCGCAGGUUUUGUUGAAAGGACUCACUUGUCCUUACUAUUAUCUCACACUAUGCCUAAUUAACUUCAUUCGCAUAACAUCAUGACAUCAUAAGCAUAACAUGAUUUAACUAACCCUUUCAAGGAUCUUAGGGAUUUAGGGCACACAAUUUCAUGUGCUCUUAUCAAGGACGGAAUUCCUAUCUAGGGGCAGGAGGAUUUACUUUCCUCUGGCCAUUUGUCUUCCAAAUCAAAGACACCACACCUAUCAAUGGGCAAAAGGAUUUAUUUUCCUUUGGCGUUAUGCCUUCCAAUUCAAAGGCUCCGUACCUAUCAAGGGGCAAAAGGAUUUAUCUUCCUCUAGCCAUAUACCUUCAAAUUCAGAGAUAUCCUGAAUCAGAGGCGAUGACCCACUCGAUAUGGUGAGCUUGGUUCUCUAAGAAAGACGUUCAAAGACAAAAUUCAGAAUUCUUCAGACAAAGACGCGACCAAAUCAUUUUCUAAUAUUGCUAACUAAAUUCCUAAAGAUCCUUGAAAAGAUUGCAUUUGCAUUCAUAACAUCACAUAGAACUAACUUUUCCUUUCAGGUCGACCAACUGGUCAGACAGAUACCAUCAACAAAUCAAUCUCUAUCAGAUGAACAUUCUGGAAGCUUGACCCCCAGACUUCUGAAACAUUCCAAUUAGAUAUACAUUCCGGAAGCUCGAACCCCGGACAUUCUGAAAGUUCCAAUCAGAUGAACAUUCUGGAAGCUUGACCCCCAGACUUCUGAAACAUUCCAAUCAGAUAAACAUUUCGGAAGCUUGAACCCCGGACAUUCUGAAAGUUCCAAUCAGAUGAACAUUCUGGAAGCAUGACCCCCAGACUUCUGAAACAUUCCAAUCAGAUAUACAUUCCGGAAGCUCGAACCCCAGACAUUCUGAAAGUUCCAAUCAGAUGAACAUUCUGGAAGCUUGACCCCCAGACUUCUGAAACAUUCCAAUCAGAUAUACAUUCCGGAAGCUUGAACCCUGGACAUUCUGAAAGUUCCAAUCAGAUGAACAUUCUGGAAGCUUGACCCCCAGACUUCUGAAACAUUCCAAUCAGACAUACAUUCCGGAAGCUCGAACCCCGGAUACUCUGAAUCUCUACACCAGUUCCACAACAACAACGCAAGCCAGAUGUACCUAAGCGCCAAUUCACCAAAAUCAAUAUGUCGUCAGCUCAAGCAUUACAACAUUUGUAAAGAUCAAAUUGAUUACUCUGAGAGAUUCUCCUAAGAAUUCUAACACCUCCACUCCUGGCUAUAAACUCAAUGCGAGGUGCGCGUGCCAUUCCAACUUUCCUGGACAUUACAAAAACAAUUGCUGGACAUUGAAGAAUAAGAUCAAAGAUCUGAUCAAUGACGGAGAAAUCAAAUUCGACCCUCUUGAAUAUUCCUGUGGUGAUCACCGCUCUUAUGCCUAGUCAUGACAAUACUGAUUGACGUCUGGCAGGACGAACUUUUGGAUCAUUAUAUCUACUUUCAUGCGCAAUUCCUAUUCUGUUUGUUUAAACAUUCGGCUUAUGAUAUACAUUAUCUGUUUUAAUAAUCAUCAUCAGUGCAUUGCAUAUGUUUGUCUUGAAUAAAUUAUUUCACUAUCACUCAUCUAAACUGCAUCUUUACUCUACAUAUGUUUUAUGAUACUCAACUCCUGCUAAAGCUGUAUACCUUUUGAGGGAGGAUGACGAAAAUGAUACCGCGAACUCAUACAGUAUGCUUUUGAGCGGACUAUGCUGACGAUGUACAGGCAUUGCUUUAAUUCCUAAACAGUGGAGAUAUAAGGAUGUUAAUCCCUCGUCAACCCCUUUGAGCCUAAGAAGUAGAAGUUUCUCUCUUGAACAAAUUAAAAACCCUUGAUCAUAACCUGGGGCAGGGUAGUUCUCAGUUAAUUUGGCUGUGCAUUCUAUUUUAAGAGAAUCAUUCAGUACCCCUUUCGAUAAAGGCUUCAAUCACAAGCGUUCAUCCGCACACAUCAAAGAAGUGUUGGAGAUGACAAUCAAAAAACAAUGAUGGUUCGUCAAUCAUCAAACAAGACAGUCAAUAUCUUCAAAAGAAAAAAUGAAAAAAUAUAUAUACAAAGAAAAGCCUGCUAAGUCAAAAAUCAAAAGACGACUUAGGCAAAAUCAAGGCAUCCCGCUGACUGUAAUCUCAGAAAUAAACAGUUCAGGCAAAAGUUAGGAAUAUCAAAAAGAUGAAAAAAGAGAAGUCAAUAUACAACACAAUGUUGUGACUACCAAAGGAAGAAGCGACUGCCAUCUCAAAAGCUUUCCUUGCUUGUGAACCAUCAUCAUUAUCAAAGGUGCAAAUCCAAAAGUCUCUUGGAACCUGAAUGCACAAGUUGAAUUAACUGAGCUUAGGAUCGAAGAUCAUCACGAAGAGGGGUGGGUACAAUCAAUUUUUGAGCCUUUAUCCUUCGUUUCUUAAACCGUGAACCAAGCCACGUUACAACCCUUAAAAGUCCUAACUGAAGCAUGGUUAGUUCGAAAGCAUACUGUCACAAAAAAGGUAUCCUGACUCCUUAAGGUUUACCAAAAAUGCUGAGUUGAUAUUUCAUUUUUUACAAACAUCACGCUUUUACAAACGUCACGUUGUUACAAAUAUCAUGUCUUUACAAAUGUCAUGUUUUUACAUCUCCAGUUUUAAUGUUUUUCAAAAACUCAAGACAAACGUAUGCAUUGCAUCUCAUGAAUACAUUAUUAAACAUAUUCUGCUACAUAAUUUCAAAUGUUAGCAACAGAAAGAAUUUGCACAGGGUACAACUAAUGAUUGAAAGUUAUCCCGAUAAACAAAAUUACUCCAAGGAAGCCAUGUCUCUUACGUAUACAAGGGGCAUGACAUGUUUCGUCCAAUCAAUCUGGGGCAAUCAAGUCAAGAUUCUGAGAAUCUCUCAUGGAUGCUCGAACAAUCAGGGGCAUGCACCCAAGCAUAUCUAAAGCUACUCCCCAAUCAACGUGAGACAUUGUCAUGAGCCUAUGAUUACUGGGGGCAUAUCGCCCAUAGUAAACAUCUCAUAAAGUCCUCGCGAGGCGAAUCUUUCCAAAGUUCCUGCUAACUGGGGCAAAUCUAUGCAAGUCCAAAUUCAACAUCUUGAUCAAUACUCAGUGGCGUGUCCUGAAUCAAGUAGUAAGUUACUAUGAUACUGGGGGCAACUUUCAAGACACCCAUGUCUCCCCACAGAGCCAGGUUCACAAAACCACCUCCCCGCAGAGUAAUCAUUAAGAAGACAUCUUCAAACAUACUCGUCCUGACAAAGACAUAGCUCCUCAACAAAGUUUACAUUUUCAACACUGCUGGUUCUCCAACACUUUGUUCUUCUCCAACAUGGUUUAUUAAUCCCCAGUCAGGGUACAUCAAGUUACUGAUCAUCCCCAAGCAGAAAUCAUAAAUCCCCAGCUACACAUCUUCAAAACAAGAUCAAAUAUCCAAUCCACAAGGAUACAUAGAUUUGUUUUCUCAGAACAACAUCAGUCAUACAUCAUAUACAUCACAUACAUAUUCAUACAUUGCAUACAUUACUUUAUGAUAAACAUACAGGAGAAAACUCGUCAUACAGUACAUGCAUCAUGACAUUGCAUAUUUCUAAUUUUGUUUUCAGGUUCCGCUUCGACAAACAUUCCUCUCAAAUAUAAUCGAGAUGAAGAUUCACAUUCCAAAACUUCAUCAAAAUAACUUACCAACUCCAAUGUACAAGCAUUCUCUAUCAGAUAUGGUCUAAUAUAUGACCCGUUCCGGUAUUCUCAGUCAGAUAUGGUCAAAUGUAUGACUCGUUCUGGCGUUAUCCUUCAGAUAUGGUUUAGUGAAUAACUCGUUCUGACAUCCUUCAUCAGAUAUGGUCUAAUAUAUGACCCGUUCCGGUAUUCUCAGUCAGAUAUGGUCAAAUGUAUGACUCGUUCUGGCAUUAUCCAUCAGAUAUGGUCUAAUAUACGACCCGUUCCGGUAUUUUUAGUCAGAUAUGGUCUAAAUGUAUGACUCGUUCUGGCAUUAACCAUCAGAUAUGGUUUAAUGUAUGACUCGUUCUGGUAUUCACCUUCAGAUAUGGUUUAAUGAAUAACUCGUUCUGAUAUCCCUCCUCAGAUAUGGUCUAAUGUACGACUCGUUCUGCUAUUCCUCUACAGAUAUGGUCUAAAUGUAUGACCCGUUUCUCUCAUCACAAACAACGCUAACACGAUCAAUCUCUAACAAAUACUUCUCAAACGCUCCGAACCGAAUCUAAUGCAUGAUUUGCUGGAUGGCAUAUUCAAGCCCAUCUCCGACAAAAGUCCCUACAUCAGCUAGGGCAAAUUUCUUGGUAUUCUAGUGUUCAAUCAUCUUCCACCUUCAGAUACCGACUGGCAUACAAACCACUCUACAUCUUCAGGUUUAAGACAAUUGAACAGGGGCAGCUGUCAUACCCCAAAAUUUGCCCUCAUAUAUUUACGAAUGACACUUUAUUACGAAUAAAAGUAAUGGCACGUUUGGUAAGAGUGUAAGGUUUGCGGGUACAAGGUCCCAAGUUCGAAUCCCAUGUCUGGCAUUUUUUAUUUUUUUUUAUUUAACUUUACUUCUGUUUUAAAUUAUUUUCAAAAAAAUCAUAAAAUUGUAUUUUUUUAAUUAUUUUUAAUCAAUUUUCGUAUUUUAUUAAUUAUGUAUUUUAAAAUAUUAAUUUUUUUAUUUUUUUUUAUUUUUCCAUUUUUAUUCAUAGAAAUUACCAAAAAAAUCAUAAAAUAAAAUAAAAAAAGAUUUGAAAACUUUCUUUCCUUUUUCUCUUUUUAGGAAGAACACUUAUUUUUAGAAAAGAAUUAUUGUAAUUAGUUAAAAUAAUUUUUGAGUCUUAAAUGAAAUAAUAUUUGAUUUUUAAACCUGAAUUAUAUUUGAUUGAUUAAAUGAUUUUAUUCUAUUUUUAAUUAACCUAAUUUUAUGUGUAUAUAUAUACUAACAUUUUCUACACUUUUGGGGGGACAUUCACGGAUAACAGCAAAAUUGGAAUAGCAGCGAAGAAAAGUUGAACUUUGACAAACACCGCCGUCAACCAUUCCACACGGUCGGAACGCUACCAGCGCCUCCGUCGCUCACGGGUUUCUGAUAGGCAUCACUGCGUAAUUCUCUCGCUGACAACACCGCAACUACCAGCAGCUGACGCAUCCAACAACUCUGUCGGCCGGAAAACCACCGCGCUGGAUCCACAGCGCCUCCGGUCAAACUCAUCCUUCGCGUGAUCCUCCGAUGAAAUCAUCGUCCGCCCUCGGAUUGCCGUUUCAAUGUGUUGAUGUAAGUUUUUCUCUUUUCUUGUUUGAUCUGCAUCUAUAGGCGAUAACGUUGUUAAUUCUCUGGUUUUUUCCUUGAAUAUUCACCGUGGUUUUUUUUUAUUAGAACAAACAUGGCUGUGUUGUUUCUGUAUUUUGUUCGGUGUACAGGGAUAAAAGAAGAACAUAGUAAAGGAAAUGUAUCGUGACCUUCUUUUUUUUAUUGUUAUAAUGUUUUGUUUUUUUAAUUAGACCACAUGUGAAACUGUGAUUGGAUGGUACUUUUUUACUUUGAAAAUUCAAAGAGAGAGAACGAAGGAUUGUUGUUGAUGCCAUGUUUCACUUUUUUUUCCCUCUUGUUUUAAUUUCUUAGUAUUUAUCCACUAGUUAUAUAAAUUCAAUUAGGAUUUUAGAAAUUAUAAAAAUGGACUUUGGAUCUUUAGUUAGUUAGUUAGAUUAAUUUAAUUAAUUUUGUUUAACUAAUUUAUUAUAAUUCAUUAAUUUUAGUUUAGUUUAUUUUAUUGCAUUGUUUUUAAUCAUAUUAAUCAAACAUGUCAAGAAACAAAAAUAACCCUUUUUUAUUUUGUUAGUUUUUAUCCAAUAAGCUUUUUUCGUACAAAUUUAGAUUUAUUAGUUUACUCAACUUCACUAAUUUGUUUUUUGUGAGAUUAGUUUACUUAAUUUCUACCAUUAUAAAAUAUCAAAAAUAUUAGGUUUAGUUUCUUUUCUAUUUACUCGAUAUAACAAUAUUUAAAAAUAUUAAAAAAUAUUAUUUUAGUUAAUAUUUGUUUAGAAAUUAAUAUAUUUGUAUUUUUUGUUAAUUUUUUUAUUAAUCAUUGUUCAUAUUAUUUUAUAUAUCCGUCCUCCCACUUUCUUGUUUAUUGCGAGGUACAUUCGAGCUGUUCAUCUAUUCCUGUGGAUAUUUGCAAAUUCAUCAUCAAUCUCCUACCAUCCAGAUCUAACGUACACAAAGCUGAAGGUUUACCAUGCACCCUCACUCGAAGGGUUUGUCCUGCCCGAGGCUUCCCGCCAACCAUAUCAGAUCAAAUGCAAAGCUAAGUAUCUAUUUUUCUUUAUUUAUUUAUUUAGCCUUACAAUAUUUGUCCUUUUAUUUUAGGGCUAGUUCUUUUACCUUCGAACCAAUAAUGCACUCACUCCCUCUGUUUAUUCUGUCUUUUUCAAUUUUUAGGGUUCGUCGACUGCCAAAGCUACGAGUACUGGUAACCCUAAACCCUGAUAUUUCUUGUCUUUUAUUACUUGUGCCAAACCCUAUUAGGGAUCCGCUGGUUUCAUUGUCCCCUUCCCCAUAUUGCUAUUGUUAUUGCUGUAUGAUAAACUGCGUGGUUAGUAAUUUAGGGAGUGUAACCUUGAAUUGAAUUAGCCUCACUAACUAUAAGAUAAUUUAAUCGAAUUAAUCACGUGAUUGUUGCACACACGCACCCUUUUGGGGUAACCUCUCUGUUGCCUUGUUGCCUGUUGCCUGUUGCCUUUGUGUUUUUUGCAGAAUAAGCCAUGUCCCUCGAAUACGAGGAUACCUCAGCCAUGCUGCCUCGAUAAUUAAAGGUCAUAUGACCCUAAAUGAUGCUGCCUUCGAUACACAAAUAUGACCUCGACCCUCGGAAGUUGCCUACGGAAAAAGGCUGAGGUAUCUUCUGGCUGCCUACGAAAAGGCUUAUUCUGAUCCUUCCCCUUAGACUACCUGCCCCUCUAUGGCAUGGGUCAGUCUUUGGGCAAAGGAUAUCUCGACGACCCUUCAACCUCCAAACGAAAGGCUUCCUGCCCACUUAUGGCAAGGAUUGACCCUUUCAUUCUGAAAGGCUAAAAAGAGACCUAUCAUCUGAGUUUAAGGUAAUUGCCCCUAAUUGCCUUGCAAUGCUCAAACAAUUUUAAUAUUCUUUCUCACAAUUCUUCGAAAACUGGCUACACUCAUUUACGAGUUAAAGUCCACUUUUUUCUUUCAUCUACUUUUUCUAAAAAAACAAACGAGCAAGCAAAGCAAUUAAGAGCCCAUGGAAAACCAUGGAUGCAAAGGGUGCCUUACACCUUCCCUUUGCAUAAAUUACCCCCCGAACUUAGAUUUCUUAAAAAGGUUUUUUCUGUUUCUUUUAGCCUUUCUGAAUUCGUUUGGAUAAAAUAAAAGUCGGUGGCGACUCUUGCUUAACCGCGACAUUUCGAUUGAUAAAAAGUCAGUUCACCGUAUCACAGAACUGGCGACUCUGCUGGGGAUUAAAAUUCGAUAAAAGAGGGGUUACCUUAAAAGUUUAGGAAUCACUAAAAUGUUUUCUAUUGCCUGCUUUGCUUAUUUUAUUUUUCAGGGCUGUUUUGGGAAAAUUGAAGGACGAAUCCUAUUCCCGGAUUCAAGAACACUUAAGAUUAGGAGCGGCAUAGUCAUGGAGACCCCCCUUGUGCAUGCUUGGGGUUGGUCAAAAUGAAGUUCGCGCUUGAGUUAGGCCUCCACUGGUUAUUGUGUACCUCUUUUGCAUGAGAGAGGUUUAUGCAUGUAUCUUUGGGUGCGUCGGAGCUCAAGGACCUUUAGUCACCUUUAACCCAUCCUGACUUUUAGGAACGUAGUGGGAGGGCUAUUCUUGGUGCAUGCCAAGUUAUGGUCGCUACCCGAUACUACAGCUCAGAUAGGUUUCUUCCUAAAGUAUCAUUGCGUGGUAUGCAUGUACCAUGUUCGAGGGUGCUUUAGAGGGGGCUGACAAUUCUGAGUCACUUGGUAGAACCCGUUGCUGAAAUCUCCUUAUCCAUAAAAAUACCCUUGGGAAGGACACCUGAUCAGACUCCAUGCAAGCCUUAAGCCAAAAAUUGUGUGACUUGCGUGACUUGUGUGACUUGUUUGUGUUUGCUACUAACCUUCGUUCCUCGCAGGUUUUGUUGAAAGGACUCACUUGUCCUUACUAUUAUCUCACACUAUGCCUAAUUAACUUCAUUCGCAUAACAUCAUGACAUCAUAAGCAUAACAUGAUUUAACUAACCCUUUCAAGGAUCUUAGGGAUUUAGGGCACACAAUUUCAUGUGCUCUUAUCAAGGACGGAAUUCCUAUCUAGGGGCAGGAGGAUUUACUUUCCUCUGGCCAUUUGUCUUCCAAAUCAAAGACACCACACCUAUCAAUGGGCAAAAGGAUUUAUUUUCCUUUGGCGUUAUGCCUUCCAAUUCAAAGGCUCCGUACCUAUCAAGGGGCAAAAGGAUUUAUCUUCCUCUAGCCAUAUACCUUCAAAUUCAGAGAUAUCCUGAAUCAGAGGCGAUGACCCACUCGAUAUGGUGAGCUUGGUUCUCUAAGAAAGACGUUCAAAGACAAAAUUCAGAAUUCUUCAGACAAAGACGCGACCAAAUCAUUUUCUAAUAUUGCUAACUAAAUUCCUAAAGAUCCUUGAAAAGAUUGCAUUUGCAUUCAUAACAUCACAUAGAACUAACUUUUCCUUUCAGGUCGACCAACUGGUCAGACAGAUACCAUCAACAAAUCAAUCUCUAUCAGAUGAACAUUCUGGAAGCUUGACCCCCAGACUUCUGAAACAUUCCAAUUAGAUAUACAUUCCGGAAGCUCGAACCCCGGACAUUCUGAAAGUUCCAAUCAGAUGAACAUUCUGGAAGCUUGACCCCCAGACUUCUGAAACAUUCCAAUCAGAUAAACAUUUCGGAAGCUUGAACCCCGGACAUUCUGAAAGUUCCAAUCAGAUGAACAUUCUGGAAGCAUGACCCCCAGACUUCUGAAACAUUCCAAUCAGAUAUACAUUCCGGAAGCUCGAACCCCAGACAUUCUGAAAGUUCCAAUCAGAUGAACAUUCUGGAAGCUUGACCCCCAGACUUCUGAAACAUUCCAAUCAGAUAUACAUUCCGGAAGCUUGAACCCUGGACAUUCUGAAAGUUCCAAUCAGAUGAACAUUCUGGAAGCUUGACCCCCAGACUUCUGAAACAUUCCAAUCAGACAUACAUUCCGGAAGCUCGAACCCCGGAUACUCUGAAUCUCUACACCAGUUCCACAACAACAACGCAAGCCAGAUGUACCUAAGCGCCAAUUCACCAAAAUCAAUAUGUCGUCAGCUCAAGCAUUACAACAUUUGUAAAGAUCAAAUUGAUUACUCUGAGAGAUUCUCCUAAGAAUUCUAACACCUCCACUCCUGGCUAUAAACUCAAUGCGAGGUGCGCGUGCCAUUCCAACUUUCCUGGACAUUACAAAAACAAUUGCUGGACAUUGAAGAAUAAGAUCAAAGAUCUGAUCAAUGACGGAGAAAUCAAAUUCGACCCUCUUGAAUAUUCCUGUGGUGAUCACCGCUCUUAUGCCUAGUCAUGACAAUACUGAUUGACGUCUGGCAGGACGAACUUUUGGAUCAUUAUAUCUACUUUCAUGCGCAAUUCCUAUUCUGUUUGUUUAAACAUUCGGCUUAUGAUAUACAUUAUCUAUUUUAAUAAUCAUCAUCAGUGCAUUGCAUAUGUUUGUCUUGAAUAAAUUAUUUCACUAUCACUCAUCUAAACUGCAUCUUUACUCUACAUAUGUUUUAUGAUACUCAACUCCUGCUAAAGCUGUAUACCUUUUGAGGGAGGAUGACGAAAAUGAUACCGCGAACUCAUACAGUAUGCUUUUGAGCGGACUAUGCUGACGAUGUACAGGCAUUGCUUUAAUUCCUAAACAGUGGAGAUAUAAGGAUGUUAAUCCCUCGUCAACCCCUUUGAGCCUAAGAAGUAGAAGUUUCUCUCUUGAACAAAUUAAAAACCCUUGAUCAUAACCUGGGGCAGGGUAGUUCUCAGUUAAUUUGGCUGUGCAUUCUAUUUUAAGAGAAUCAUUCAGUACCCCUUUCGAUAAAGGCUUCAAUCACAAGCGUUCAUCCGCACACAUCAAAGAAGUGUUGGAGAUGACAAUCAAAAAACAAUGAUGGUUCGUCAAUCAUCAAACAAGACAGUCAAUAUCUUCAAAAGAAAAAAUGAAAAAAUAUAUAUACAAAGAAAAGCCUGCUAAGUCAAAAAUCAAAAGACGACUUAGGCAAAAUCAAGGCAUCCCGCUGACUGUAAUCUCAGAAAUAAACAGUUCAGGCAAAAGUUAGGAAUAUCAAAAAGAUGAAAAAAGAGAAGUCAAUAUACAACACAAUGUUGUGACUACCAAAGGAAGAAGCGACUGCCAUCUCAAAAGCUUUCCUUGCUUGUGAACCAUCAUCAUUAUCAAAGGUGCAAAUCCAAAAGUCUCUUGGAACCUGAAUGCACAAGUUGAAUUAACUGAGCUUAGGAUCGAAGAUCAUCACGAAGAGGGGUGGGUACAAUCAAUUUUUGAGCCUUUAUCCUUCGUUUCUUAAACCGUGAACCAAGCCACGUUACAACCCUUAAAAGUCCUAACUGAAGCAUGGUUAGUUCGAAAGCAUACUGUCACAAAAAAGGUAUCCUGACUCCUUAAGGUUUACCAAAAAUGCUGAGUUGAUAUUUCAUUUUUUACAAACAUCACGCUUUUACAAACGUCACGUUGUUACAAAUAUCAUGUCUUUACAAAUGUCAUGUUUUUACAUCUCCAGUUUUAAUGUUUUUCAAAAACUCAAGACAAACGUAUGCAUUGCAUCUCAUGAAUACAUUAUUAAACAUAUUCUGCUACAUAAUUUCAAAUGUUAGCAACAGAAAGAAUUUGCACAGGGUACAACUAAUGAUUGAAAGUUAUCCCGAUAAACAAAAUUACUCCAAGGAAGCCAUGUCUCUUACGUAUACAAGGGGCAUGACAUGUUUCGUCCAAUCAAUCUGGGGCAAUCAAGUCAAGAUUCUGAGAAUCUCUCAUGGAUGCUCGAACAAUCAGGGGCAUGCACCCAAGCAUAUCUAAAGCUACUCCCCAAUCAACGUGAGACAUUGUCAUGAGCCUAUGAUUACUGGGGGCAUAUCGCCCAUAGUAAACAUCUCAUAAAGUCCUCGCGAGGCGAAUCUUUCCAAAGUUCCUGCUAACUGGGGCAAAUCUAUGCAAGUCCAAAUUCAACAUCUUGAUCAAUACUCAGUGGCGUGUCCUGAAUCAAGUAGUAAGUUACUAUGAUACUGGGGGCAACUUUCAAGACACCCAUGUCUCCCCACAGAGCCAGGUUCACAAAACCACCUCCCCGCAGAGUAAUCAUUAAGAAGACAUCUUCAAACAUACUCGUCCUGACAAAGACAUAGCUCCUCAACAAAGUUUACAUUUUCAACACUGCUGGUUCUCCAACACUUUGUUCUUCUCCAACAUGGUUUAUUAAUCCCCAGUCAGGGUACAUCAAGUUACUGAUCAUCCCCAAGCAGAAAUCAUAAAUCCCCAGCUACACAUCUUCAAAACAAGAUCAAAUAUCCAAUCCACAAGGAUACAUAGAUUUGUUUUCUCAGAACAACAUCAGUCAUACAUCAUAUACAUCACAUACAUAUUCAUACAUUGCAUACAUUACUUUAUGAUAAACAUACAGGAGAAAACUCGUCAUACAGUACAUGCAUCAUGACAUUGCAUAUUUCUAAUUUUGUUUUCAGGUUCCGCUUCGACAAACAUUCCUCUCAAAUAUAAUCGAGAUGAAGAUUCACAUUCCAAAACUUCAUCAAAAUAACUUACCAACUCCAAUGUACAAGCAUUCUCUAUCAGAUAUGGUCUAAUAUAUGACCCGUUCCGGUAUUCUCAGUCAGAUAUGGUCAAAUGUAUGACUCGUUCUGGCGUUAUCCUUCAGAUAUGGUUUAGUGAAUAACUCGUUCUGACAUCCUUCAUCAGAUAUGGUCUAAUAUAUGACCCGUUCCGGUAUUCUCAGUCAGAUAUGGUCAAAUGUAUGACUCGUUCUGGCAUUAUCCAUCAGAUAUGGUCUAAUAUACGACCCGUUCCGGUAUUUUUAGUCAGAUAUGGUCUAAAUGUAUGACUCGUUCUGGCAUUAACCAUCAGAUAUGGUUUAAUGUAUGACUCGUUCUGGUAUUCACCUUCAGAUAUGGUUUAAUGAAUAACUCGUUCUGAUAUCCCUCCUCAGAUAUGGUCUAAUGUACGACUCGUUCUGCUAUUCCUCUACAGAUAUGGUCUAAAUGUAUGACCCGUUUCUCUCAUCACAAACAACGCUAACACGAUCAAUCUCUAACAAAUACUUCUCAAACGCUCCGAACCGAAUCUAAUGCAUGAUUUGCUGGAUGGCAUAUUCAAGCCCAUCUCCGACAAAAGUCCCUACAUCAGCUAGGGCAAAUUUCUUGGUAUUCUAGUGUUCAAUCAUCUUCCACCUUCAGAUACCGACUGGCAUACAAACCACUCUACAUCUUCAGGUUUAAGACAAUUGAACAGGGGCAGCUGUCAUACCCCAAAAUUUGCCCUCAUAUAUUUACGAAUGACACUUUAUUACGAAUAAAAGUAAUGGCACGUUUGGUAAGAGUGUAAGGUUUGCGGGUACAAGGUCCCAAGUUCGAAUCCCAUGUCUGGCAUUUUUUAUUUUUUUUUAUUUAACUUUACUUCUGUUUUAAAUUAUUUUCAAAAAAAUCAUAAAAUUGUAUUUUUUUAAUUAUUUUUAAUCAAUUUUCGUAUUUUAUUAAUUAUGUAUUUUAAAAUAUUAAUUUUUUUAUUUUUUUUUAUUUUUCCAUUUUUAUUCAUAGAAAUUACCAAAAAAAUCAUAAAAUAAAAUAAAAAAAGAUUUGAAAACUUUCUUUCCUUUUUCUCUUUUUAGGAAGAACACUUAUUUUUAGAAAAGAAUUAUUGUAAUUAGUUAAAAUAAUUUUUGAGUCUUAAAUGAAAUAAUAUUUGAUUUUUAAACCUGAAUUAUAUUUGAUUGAUUAAAUGAUUUUAUUCUAUUUUUAAUUAACCUAAUUUUAUGUGUAUAUAUAUACUAACAUUUUCUACACUUUUGGGGGGACAUUCACGGAUAACAGCAAAAUUGGAAUAGCAGCGAAGAAAAGUUGAACUUUGACAAACACCGCCGUCAACCAUUCCACACGGUCGGAACGCUACCAGCGCCUCCGUCGCUCACGGGUUUCUGAUAGGCAUCACUGCGUAAUUCUCUCGCUGACAACACCGCAACUACCAGCAGCUGACGCAUCCAACAACUCUGUCGGCCGGAAAACCACCGCGCUGGAUCCACAGCGCCUCCGGUCAAACUCAUCCUUCGCGUGAUCCUCCGAUGAAAUCAUCGUCCGCCCUCGGAUUGCCGUUUCAAUGUGUUGAUAACAAACAUGGCUGUGUUGUUUCUGUAUUUUGUUCGGUGUACAGGGAUAAAAGAAGAACAUAGUAAAGGAAAUGUAUCGUGACCUUCUUUUUUUUAUUGUUAUAAUGUUUUGUUUUUUUAAUUAGACCACAUGUGAAACUGUGAUUGGAUGGUACUUUUUUACUUUGAAAAUUCAAAGAGAGAGAACGAAGGAUUGUUGUUGAUGCCAUGUUUCACUUUUUUUUCCCUCUUGUUUUAAUUUCUUAGUAUUUAUCCACUAGUUAUAUAAAUUCAAUUAGGAUUUUAGAAAUUAUAAAAAUGGACUUUGGAUCUUUAGUUAGUUAGUUAGAUUAAUUUAAUUAAUUUUGUUUAACUAAUUUAUUAUAAUUCAUUAAUUUUAGUUUAGUUUAUUUUAUUGCAUUGUUUUUAAUCAUAUUAAUCAAACAUGUCAAGAAACAAAAAUAACCCUUUUUUAUUUUGUUAGUUUUUAUCCAAUAAGCUUUUUUCGUACAAAUUUAGAUUUAUUAGUUUACUCAACUUCACUAAUUUGUUUUUUGUGAGAUUAGUUUACUUAAUUUCUACCAUUAUAAAAUAUCAAAAAUAUUAGGUUUAGUUUCUUUUCUAUUUACUCGAUAUAACAAUAUUUAAAAAUAUUAAAAAAUAUUAUUUUAGUUAAUAUUUGUUUAGAAAUUAAUAUAUUUGUAUUUUUUGUUAAUUUUUUUAUUAAUCAUUGUUCAUAUUAUUUUAUAUAUCCGUCCUCCCACUUUCUUGUUUAUUGCGAGGUACAUUCGAGCUGUUCAUCUAUUCCUGUGGAUAUUUGCAAAUUCAUCAUCAAUCUCCUACCAUCCAGAUCUAACGUACACAAAGCUGAAGGUUUACCAUGCACCCUCACUCGAAGGGUUUGUCCUGCCCGAGGCUUCCCGCCAACCAUAUCAGAUCAAAUGCAAAGCUAAGUAUCUAUUUUUCUUUAUUUAUUUAUUUAGCCUUACAAUAUUUGUCCUUUUAUUUUAGGGCUAGUUCUUUUACCUUCGAACCAAUAAUGCACUCACUCCCUCUGUUUAUUCUGUCUUUUUCAAUUUUUAGGGUUCGUCGACUGCCAAAGCUACGAGUACUGGUAACCCUAAACCCUGAUAUUUCUUGUCUUUUAUUACUUGUGCCAAACCCUAUUAGGGAUCCGCUGGUUUCAUUGUCCCCUUCCCCAUAUUGCUAUUGUUAUUGCUGUAUGAUAAACUGCGUGGUUAGUAAUUUAGGGAGUGUAACCUUGAAUUGAAUUAGCCUCACUAACUAUAAGAUAAUUUAAUCGAAUUAAUCACGUGAUUGUUGCACA